rnacentral:lncRNA from 1 species
CACUUCUUUAUUAUCACAAUUCAUCUCUUGGUGCUUUAGAUAUUGUUCUCUGUGUGACUUUGGGAGCAGUGGGCACCUUCUGAACCUGUAGACCUCUCACGAUCCAAGCACUAUAGAGAGAAGUCCUAUAUGUUUGUUGCCUUUGUACUGCUCAUUUAAAGGAUUGAAUCAAUCGAUUGCUUGAUUUCACAAUUCAGCAUGUAGGCUGCGUGAGAGGAAAACUCAAUCCUGCUCUUUCAUAUUUCGGUAGUAUUGAAUUUAUGAACGUGAACAGUCCUUUUACCCGGUAUUUUGCAAAGGAGGUUGCAGAUAUUUAUGAUUCAACUGUUUCCUUUGUUCCCACCAAGUAUUUUUCUCACAUACUCCCUCUGUCCAAAAAUAAGUGUCUCAACUUUAGUACAAAGUUGUACUGAAGUUGAGACACUUAUUUUGGGACGGAGGGAGUAUAUGACAUUUUGGUUCAGUGGCUCAGUGCAUAGGAUAGUUCUUUUCUCACAUAGUAAGGUAUUUGCAUUGUGACUAAUUGAUGCUCCCAUAGCCGUAGGUGGGCAUGUGAAUUUGAGUUGCCGGUUUAUCACGUUGGAUGAUGCAACUCUAACUUGUUCUUUGUUGCGGUCCGGCUAUAUGAACAUGUGUAUGCAAUGUAGUCUGCUGCAGCCUGCAGGCAUAUAUGGGCUUGAAUUCAGGAUUAUGUUAUACGUAUAUGUGAAUUCUGUGCUGCGCAGGAAUCAUCGCAUCAACUGUUGUUUUCGUACCCCUGGCUAAGUAUAUUUUGCUGUGGUUAAUUAGAUACUGCUAAGUGGGAAUAACCAGUUUCAGUUCUCUGCUUGAAUCCUUUGGGAAAUGUAUAUAGGUCAGAACUGGUUCUCGGUCUCUUUACUGGUAUAAAAGUAUGGAGAGGUUGUGAUAGCUGGGAUCCGUGAGGGGCGCUCUGUUUUCGUAUAUACGGAGAACAUGAAAUAGAUCAUGUUUUUGACUUGUUCAUCCUGUGGAUCUGGGCAAUAUAGCUUUGUUUGUGUGCUAUUUCAACAAUUCCUGGAUUUACGAACGGGUGCAGUCCUCCUACCAAGUAUUUUGGCAAAGGAGAUUAUUGCCAAUAUUUAUGAUUCAACUCUCACCAUUGUUCUUAUCGAGUAUUUUCGCAUGUAUGGCAUUUUGGUUCGGCGCAUAGCUAGCUAGGAUGGUUCUUUUCCCAUGUAAGGAUUUGCAUUUCGGCUAAUGGGGCGUGUACGUACUGGUGUCGGUUGGUGCUUUAUAUGUUGUGCUCUGUGUAACUUUGGGGGCAGUCAGCACCUUUGGGACUUGUGGUUCUGAACAAUCCAAGCGUUAUACAGAAGUCCUACAUCUUGCCCUUGAACUGCACAGUUAAGGGAUCUUUUUUAUGGAUUUUUUUAUUUCAAUAGUUCAGCAUGUAUGUUGUCCUUUUAUUUGGCUGUACCGUUGCUAAAAACAAGUCUGGGAUCUCCUCGGAGACCACACUAAGAACAAAGUCUGGUGGCACCAUAAGCCAAACCUUGCAUAAAGUAUCUCCUACGCCUACUUUCACUAGCUUAUGCGCGGCAGAAUUCGCAUUGCGACCGACCCAAGACACUUUCACGUCAUCAAAGAACUGAAACAUCUGCUUAAGCUCCUCUACCCUUGGCCCAACAGCAGCCAAAUUCUUCUCUCCUUCCUGAAGCAUCAACGCCACAUGUUUGUUGUCCGUCUCUAGGUGUAGUUUUUUGACGUUGAUCUCGGCGGCUAAUUAACUCAACAGCUCUUUUGCAAGCAAGGAUCUCCACUGUCUCCGCCUCUGUCUGAUGAUGGUAGACCUGACAUGCAGCUAGCCGCUCGGAAAUCACCAAGGUGCCCACGCAGGAUCACUCCUCCUCCUCCCUUGUCACCAUGCUUUGACACCGCCCCGUCAGCGUUCGCUUUUAUCCAUCCCUCCUCCGGUGGUGUCCACUUGUAUGUUUCUUUUAUCGGAUUUGCUAAAACUCAGCUAGAUGAGUUUUAAUUUUGUCUCAUUCACUUUUGUAACCGUUGGAUGUAUAUAUACCCUAAGAUUCGUACAUUGUGGCGUGUGGCUGCUUUUGUAUCGGGCUGUCUGCAGUUUUGUGUUGUAGUCGUUAGGCCCACAGGCCUUUCUUUGUUUGUUUGGUUUUUUUGCGGUGCAAGCCGGCAGACCUUUCUUUGUAAUAUCUUUUUUUUUCACUGGUUCAGCGAUGGACAAUUUAUUGUACGGGUUUGUUAUUUCACAUCUAAGUCCAAAACCGUUGGAUCACCUGUUUUUAAUAUUCGUGCAAAACGCAAUUGUCUAGUUGCUGCGCUGGCUCGUGGCGCGUUGUGUCCGGGUUGUUGCAAGCUGUGCUUGUGUAGGGGUCGUUGCUAGUGCGAGGUCGCUCCGUUAGUAUCACAAGCCUAUGCUCUUGAGGGUCGUUGCUAGUGUGAGGUCGAUUGACCUUUUCUAUUUCUUUUCACAAGUCUGUGCUGCAUUCAGUCCUAGUUCCUCUCAUUUCUCUACACUCUCAUUUGACUCCUAGUAUUUGUUAUUAUUUUCUGUUUUAUUUUAUUUUUUCUAUUCAUUAUUUAUUUUAAAUUAUGAACUAUUUUAAAUUCUUGAUUUUUUUGUUUUUGUUUUUAUUUAUAUUUUCUAUUUUCCCCUUUUCCAUUUUUAUUUUUUAUUUUAAAAUUUAUUUAUUCGUUUAAAAUUCAUGAAAUUGUUUUCACUCUGUCAUUUGUUCACUUUAAAUAUUGUGCAAAUCUUGAUUGCGGGUUAUUUUGUCACGCGCGCUCUGUGUCGCGUCGUGUGUUUGGUGUCUAUUUGUCGAUCUAUUCGCGCAUGUAUCUUUUGUUGAGCGUUUUCGUGACGCGAUCUGAGGUCCCGUUUCGAAUUGGUUUGCUAAUUAUUAUGUAAAUGAGUUAACAAUGUUCCAUCUAACUCAUAUACCAUUAGAUACACGUGCUUCUGAGUCAUGCUCAUUGUCCUUGCGUCGUGUUUUCUGUUUGUCCCUCGUGAAGCAGUGAGACCCAAUAUGAAAAUUUUGAGUGAGCAGUUAUUAUGUUUUAUGUAUUGAUUUUUUUGUGGGCUUAGCUUUUUUUGGAGGAACACGUGUCUUUUUAUUCCUUGUUUUCUUUUAUUUUGGUUUGACCGUGUAGCUAGAGAGGAGUGUAACUAGUUUUUUCAUUUUCAGAUUUGCUAAAUCUAAUCUAGAUAAGUUUUAGCUCAUCUGAGUCUAUAAUUGAUUGACUGAUUGGUUUUAUUUAAUGUUUGCACAAACUCGAUCAUGCACGCUCGUGUUCGCUUGUUCUUUUUUGUUGCGCGUCCUCUUGUCCCGUUUGUUUUGUGUCCUCAUGUUCUUGCAUUUAUUUUCACAUUGGCCUAUAUGUGUUGUCGUUUUGGGGGCUCAACUAUGAAGCUUAUCCCCCAUCUUCUCACUGACGGAUCUUUUGACCCUGGUUAUUUUGCAUGUGUUUUAUUUUUCAUCCCAGUUAUAGGUCCACCCUUGACAUAUAACUGGCAUGUAGUUUGUUUCAUCCUAGUUACAAAUCGACCAUUGACUCGCAACUGGGCUCGUAUUUUCGUAUGUUGUCCCGGGUGCAAGUCCACCAUCGACUCGCAACUGGAGCAUGUGUUUUUGUUUUUCAUCCCAGUUGCAGGUCCACCAUUGACAUGCAAGUGGGUAUGUAGUUUGUAUCAUCCUAGUUGCAAGUCGACUCUUGACUCACAACCAGGCUCAUAGUUUCGUAGUUGUCCUAGGUGCAAGUCCACCCUCGACUCACAACUGGGCUAGUAAUUGUCAGACUUGCAAGCCCACCCUUGACCCGCAAUUGGAGCAUGUGUUUUGUUUUUCAUCCCAGUUGCAAGUCCACCCUUAGCUAGCAACCGGGCCCAUAGCUUGUUUCAUCCCAGUUGCAAGUCGACCUUUGACUCGCAACUGACUCGUAGUUUCAUAGUUGUCCCACGUGCAAGCCCCCCUCGACUCAAAACUGGGCUCGUAGUUGUCCAAGUUGCAAGCUCACCCUCUACUCAGAACUUGAGCAUGUGUUUUUUUAUCCCAGUUGCAAGUCUACCUUUUGAUUGGAACAAGCUUAUAGCUUGUCUCAUCCCAGUUGCAAGUCGACCCUUAACUCACAAUUGGGCUCAUAGUUUCGUAGUUGUCCCAGUUGCAAGGCCACCAUUAACUCGCAACUACAAGGCCCCGAAUGCCCCAGUUGCAACUUGACCAUCGACUCGCAACUCAGGGGGUGUUUACUCAAUGCCACUUCGCAACUCGACCUUGGACAAUUUUUUGGUUUCACCAACGAAAUACAAGGACCAGUGGGCCCCGCAUGCCCUAGUUGCAACUCGACCGUCGACUUGCAAUUAGGGUGUCUACUCGAUGCCACAUACAACUCGACCUUGGACUCGCAACUGGUAUGAUUAUUUGUCUUUUCUUUUAUUGCCAUAAUUGCCCCAGUUGCAAGUCCACCAUCGAUUUGCAACUGUAGGGCCCACACGGCACUUGCAACUCGACCGUCGACUNNNNNNNNNNNNNNNNNNNNNNNNNNNNNNNNNNNNNNNNNNNNNNNNNNNNNNNNNNNNNNNNNNNNNNNNNNNNNNNNNNNNNNNNNNNNNNNNNNNNNNNNNNNNNNNNNNNNNNNNNNNNNNNNNNNNNNNNNNNNNNNNNNNNNNNNNNNNNNNNNNNNNNNNNNNNNNNNNNNNNNNNNNNNNNNNNNNNNNNNNNNNNNNNNNNNNNNNNNNNNNNNNNNNNNNNNNNNNNNNNNNNNNNNNNNNNNNNNNNNNNNNNNNNNNNNNNNNNNNNNNNNNNNNNNNNNNNNNNNNNNNNNNNNNNNNNNNNNNNNNNNNNNNNNNNNNNNNNNNNNNNNNNNNNNNNNNNNNNNNNNNNNNNNNNNNNNNNNNNNNNNNNNNNNNNNNNNNNNNNNNNNNNNNNNNNNNNNNNNNNNNNNNNNNNNNNNNNNNNNGACUCGCAACUGGUCUAUUUUUUUGUCUACUUUUUUGCCAUGAUUGCCCUAAUUGCAAGUCCAGCAUCGACUCGCAACUACGAGGGGCCCGAAUGCCCUAGUUGCAACUUGACCCCCGACCCGCAACUCGGGGGGAGGGGGGGUGUUUACUCGGUGCCACUUGCAACUAGACCAUCGACUCGCAACUAGUCUGUUUUGUCUUCUUUUUUGCCAUGAUUGCCCCAAUUGCAAGUCCACCAUCGACUCGCAACUGCGAGGGGCCCGAAUGCCCCAGUUGAAACUCGGCCAUCGACUCGCAACUCGGGGCAGUGUUUACUCGAGGCCACUUGCAAGUCGACCUUGGACUCGCAACCGGGGUCGGCGGAGGGCUGUCGGCGCUGAUGAAAUCGGUUCCUUUUUUAUUUUAUUUUAUUAUGUUAGGUUUUUUGUUGUUGUAGUUGCAACCGCUCCAACCCGAGCGCAAUCGCAACUCAGCACACCCAAGCGCAACCGGGCGUCGGGGAGAGGGUUGUCGGUGCCGAUGAAAUCGGUUCCAUUUUUUGAUAGGGUUUAUUGUUGUAGUUGCAGCCGCCCCAUCCUAAGCACAAUCGCAACUCAACACACCCAAGCGCAACUGCAAGCCAUAUAAUGUGACCGCAACCAGGGUUGGCGGUUGGAUGUUUUUUUAGCAUCACAUAGAUGGGUUUUCUAUCAUUUCCCCUCACGAUGGGUACAUACAAGCAAUUUUUUUCAUUUUGGCUAAUUUUUUGUGUUUUAUUUUUCGGAACGCACGACCCAACUCCAGCAUUUCCCACAUGAGAAUACAUAUGUUCUUGAAAAUAACACUCCAAGGGGCACACUGCAUUGUUUUUUUCCAAAAAAUAUAUAUAUAUACUUGAUCCCAGUUUCGCACUGUUGAACGCUUAUAGUUGUAUCUUCGCCGGUCAUCCAUAAAUGUUUCCAAAAAAAUCACUCCAAUGUCUUAGCUUUUCAUCUUAUAUCAUUUUGUUUUGGUUUACUCUUUGUUUCCAUUUUAAAAUUUCUUUACGAUAUAUAUUUUUUAGCCUUGAAUGAAAAAUCAACUAUAAAGGCCUUGGCUUAGUGAACAAAAAUAUUAAGCAAAACUAUUUUAAUUUGUGAUCUGGGAGCUUUAAUUAUUCAAUGUUUCCUCUUUUGUUAUGACACGCACAUGCAAAUGUUCAUGUGUUUGUUGAUUGAGCAUGAAACUCGUCAGCUUGUGGCCAGCCCAUUUGUUGUGACGUUGUGCAGCCCUAGUAAAUUGAUAGGAAGGACAAGUGAAAGGGAAGACUAGGCCAGCCCAAGAAAAAGGACAAGCAGGCCGGACAGGGAAACGAACUGGACCUUGGCAUGCAGUGUGACGUCAGGUGACAUCAGCUGACUGAGAGAUAACUACUGUCUCAGUCAGCUGAGUUCCAGGCGAUCCCUUCUUUUAUUCUGACUCCCGGAUCUGCUUUCUCAUGACUAGCGAACCAUUCCGCCAUAUAUGCACAUACAGAAGCCAAUAUUUCAUGUGGCGGUGAUAUUUGUUUACCAUCUUUCGCCUCGCUCCUCGCCAACCAGAGUCCGUAGCAGGCCUGGACCAUCGCUGCUCUCUCCUCCCCCCUGCAUUCGCAAACCAGCCUAGCAACCACGAGGACAACGGGCAAAUAGCUCCCAUGCGACAUCUUUGAGUUGAAUUGUCUCUCAUGCGACGUCGUUGGUUGUAAUGGCUCUCAUGCGACGUCUCCCAGCGCAGAAAUAGCUCAAGCAAGACAACCCGUUUAAGCGGCUAGUUGGCUGUUAGUUAGGCUGAGGUUUGGUUAGGACACUGGGGGUUAUGUGCUCUGACUAGUGGGGUCCACCUAGGGCCACGUAGUCAAGAGUCAACCGUCCAUGACUCGACCGGUGACUGUGUGACCGUGCUCGACUCGCCCGUGCUGGACUGGGCGAGCGGCGCCGCCGUAAGCAUCUUCUCCGGCAUCGGUUUCUUCUCCGCGGUGGUGGAGCGCAUUUCUCGGCAGCGGCAGAGCUAUUGCGAGUGAGCUCGAAACCCUAGUCCCACUCCCCAUAAUUUUGGGGGAUCUGUGGCCUCAUGCUGCCCCUCUGUUUCUUGGCGAUUUAGAAUCUCGAUUGGAUCCGGGGGCUGUUUCUUCUCCGUGACCCGGUGGUGGAGCGCGUUUCUCAGCAGCGGCUAUUGCGAGUGAGUAUUUUCCAAACUCUAGUCCCAUUCCCCAGAAUUUUGGAUAAAUCUGUGGCCUCAUGCUGCCCAUGUUUCUUGGCGUUUUAGAAUCACGAUGGAUAGGAGCGCGGGGGCUGAAUGAGAUGGAGCGAGGAGACAGUGCUUCAAAUCGGUAAUGCCGCCCUCUUUUCUCUUUUAACUGUUAUCGAACUCGAUUUGGUAGUGACUGUCGCUUACACUGCCGCCGCUGCCUGCCAUUGACAAAACAGGGGAGGUUCAGGUUCUGCCACCACAUUCGCAAUUAUAGUGGAAUUUUUUCCCUGUAAAGCCAAGCUCAGUGAUGGCAGUGUCCAAGACAUUGAUAGAGAUACCACCGUGAGGUUGGAUGUCGAAUUUGCAGAUGUUGAUCCCCAGGAAUUGGAGAGCAUGAAGGAGAAGGCCGUGGGCAAUUUGGUGGAGAGAAUUGGGGAGAGUAUUGUUUGGGGUCCAGAACAAGAGGUAUCUCUGCAACGUUUCGAUAACUAUAAUGGUGAAUAUGUGAGAAUUGAAGAUGGAGAAUCCAUGGUUGCUGAAAUUGAUCAGCAAGAAGGGUGGGCAAGCAAACAAGUAACAUUUUAUGCUGAGCAAUUGAUCUGCAAACUCAUUCCAGAGUUGGUUAUGUGCCAUCAAAGAUGGCUGCACAGGUGGAAGAUGAUGAGUGGGUUUCACAAAAGAAGAUGUUGGCAUUGUUGACUGAACCGACUGUAGUAGCUGAAGAUACAGGGAUUGAUGCAGAUGGAGAGGAGGGAACCCAUGGUGCUAGGAAGAUUGUUGUUGACUGGAAUGUAGUAGAGUUGAAUGAAAAAACAGAUUUCGUCAUUACACCAAUAUCUGACAUUGAUAUGGCCGAAAUGUUUGGCAUUCAAGUUGAUGACAAAGAUAAGGAGAAGGAUGACAGUUCUUUGCCUGCGGAUGGUAACACAGGCCCUAGAAAUGCAAAUGAGGAUGAAGAAGAGCUGAUGAGAGAGGCUGCAGAUGAUGUGGAUGAUGCAGAUGAUAAUGAGCUGGUUUGUUUGUAUGACAAAGAGAACCCAGUUAUUGAGGUGGGAAAGUUGUGGCCAAGCAUGAAGGAGUUUAGGAUGUCUUUCAGGACCUAUGCAGUGAAAAAAGAGUUUGAUGCCAAGACUAUGUGGACUGGUCGAAAGAAAUUUUAUGCUCGGUGCAAAGGUUAUGAUGGUGGUGGCAAUCCUUGCAAAUGGUACUUGUCUGCCAGACUACAACCUGAUGGAAGUACAGUAAGGGUAAAUCAAAUACCACACCAGCAUACAUGUAUGACCACUUCACAGAGAGUUUCAAAGAUGGCAUCACAGCUUUGGGUUACAGAGAAGAUUACUCCUAUUUUAGCCAAGACUCCAAACACUACUGCAAAGAGGCUUAAAGUUGACUUGGAGAAGCUGUACCCCAUCCAGCUGCAAUAUACCACAGUGUGAAAGCAAAACAAAGGGCCAUGAAAUCAUUGUAUGGUGACUGGGCAAAUACAUUUAGGAUGUUGUAUAGUUUUAAAGCAGAGGUGGAGAAGAGGUCACCUGGAAGUGUGGUGGAGAUAGAUACAGAGGUAACAGAGGAUGGCAAGGUUUUAUUCAGCAAGUUUUUUAUGUGUUUGAAGCCUUGCAUAGAUGGAUUCAAAGCAGGUCGUCGUCCAUAUUUGAGCAUAGACUCAUCUUUUUUGACUGGAAAGUGGAAUGGUCAGUUGGCUGCAUGCAAUGCUCUAGAUGGGCACAACUGGAUGUUCCCAAUUGCAAUAGAAAUGUUUCAAUCAGAGACAGAGGCAUCAUGGAUAUGGUUCAUGAUGCAACUGAAAAGAUGCAUAGGGCCAGUUUCUCCUUUGGCCAUCCACACAGAUGCAUGUAAAGGGUUGGAAAAUGCAGUAAAAAAUGUCUUCCCCCAUGCUGAGCAGAGGGAGUGCUUUGGACAUAUGUGGAUGAAUCUGAUAAAAAAAUUCAGAGGAGAUGAAUUUGGGCGCAUGUGGCCAGCAGCAAGAUCCUACACCAGACAGACACAUUCCUAUCACCUUGGUAAGAUAUUGGCAUCAUGUAGUGAUAAUGAAUUUGCUUCAUGGUUGAACACCCACCAUUCUCUAUUGUGGUAUAGAUCAGGUUUUAAUACUGCCAUAAAAUGUGAUCAUAUCAAUAACAACUUGGCGGAAAGUUUUAACAACAAAGUGAAGGAUUUGAAAGACUUGCCUGUGCAUGACAUGGUGGACCAAAUAAGGAUCAUGAUCAAGCGUUUGUGGGAGUUGAGAGGAAAAAUUGCUAAUAUUUUGGAAGGGGACAAGCUUCCAGCAGUGGUACAACAGGUGGUCAACAGGAGUAGAAAUCUUUCACAUCUAUCUGUUGAGAAAUCUUCCUUGUGGGGUGCUGAAGUUAGAGAUACAAAGAGUGGCAAGAGGCAUGUGGUAAAUACUGAGUUGCAUGAGUGCACUUGCCAAGAGUGGCAACACACUGGAAAACCAUGUGAGCAUUCCAUACUUUUUUUUGCAUCUAAACCCAGGUUAAAUAUGCACCCAUAUUUGCAUGAGUAUUAUUCAGUACAAAAAUUCAAAGCUGCAUAUGCAAGUCCAAUUCCUGCACUGACUAACCAAUCUCAGUGGCCUGAGGUGGAAAUAUAAUUUACCUUGUGUCCCCCUGUCACUAGAAGAAAGGCUGGGAGGCCAAAACAGAGCAGAUUCAAAGCUUGGUUUGAGAAAGGUGGUUGUAGUAAGAAGGGGAAAAAGGAAAAGGAAAAGAAUGAUAAGCCCAAAAGGGCUCAAAAAGGUAACACAAAUAGGUGCAAGUUGUGUGAGGUACUUGGGCACAGAGUUGGUUCAUCCAAAUGCAUCUACACUCCUCAGAGGCCAAAGUAUGUUUAUGUUACUGUUUUUGCAAGUUUUUGAUUUUGCUACUUGUUCUAGUAUCUAACCAAGUGAAAUGCUUUAUUUUUAGGAGGAAGCGUGCAGAAAAAGCCCCACCUCUUGUUGUUGAAGAAUGCUGGCCAGUGAAAAAAGCAAGACUCAAUGGCUUUAGAAGGAAGAGCACUAAGCAGAUAAUGUUUGGUGACAAAGAUAUGGAGCAAACUGAAACUGUUACUGCUGAACAUGAGCUAAGUGUUUCUGUUUUGGACGAUGUGAUGCAUACUGAAUCUGUUUUGCAGGCGCUAGGGCAAUCUGAAACUGUUGCAGAUGAAGCAACUGUUGUGCUGCCAUGCGAAUCUGCUUUGAUAGCUGUGUUGCCAUGUUUGGAGGUUGUGCUGCCAAGUGUUGAGUUGCAAACUGAAGUAAUUGAAUAAUGUGUGCCAUCUACUCAAGCUGCAGAAGUGCAAACUGAAGAAGUGGGACAUGGUGAGGUGCAAAAGUUGAGGGGCCUAGUGGAGUUGGCAAGAAAACCAAGGGGCCAAAAAGCAAGAGCAUCAGCAUCAACAAACUAUGCGCCGUGGGACCAAACGGUGGAAAAAAGGAGAAGAAAUCGAGUGGUAGAAAGAAGCAAAAGAAAUAGAGUCGAAAUCAUUCAAAUUUGAUGUGAAAACUUAAGUUUGUUGUCAUUUGAUGUGAAAACUUAUGUUCUUUCAUGUGAAAACUUAUGUUCUAUGAUGUUGAUUUGACUUGAAAUAAAAUUCAAAUUUGAACCGACAUUCAAAUUUGAACCUAUCUCCAAUAUUUUUGGAGUUCAUUUGUUUGUUCUGUGAUGUUGCAUUGUUUUAUGUACUACUAUGCACUUUAGUUCAUAAAUCCAACCCUUUUUGUGAAGUCCAACUCAUAGUCACUGAAAAUGUUGUCCAAACAGGCUCCAAAGUAAGGGAAAACGACCCCAUUUCUAAGCAAGUUUUUUUCGACCUUCUCAAGAUCACCCAAAAAUAUUUUCUUAGCUUAUAUUAUACCUAUAUAGGAUCAAUACGAAGUCUCACCUUUUUUGAAUAAGUAUUCAUAUUAUUAAUUUAUUUUUGAAAAAACACCCUUUAAUACAAAGUCAGCAAUAAAACAAGUUUAAAAAUUUAAAAUGCAAAAAUAACUUCAGAUCCUCCUUAGUCACUCCAAAAUGAAGCUAAGGUGAGGUUUUUGAUUUUUUGCAUUUUCAUAACCUCAAACCCUCUUCUCACUCCUUUGAACUCUAUGCAACCUCAGUCGAGAUAGUCCAAUUUGUGAAGGUUUUUUCAUGCAAAGAUCAUUAGAUCAAGUUUAUCAUUUUAUAUCAUAACUAUGUAACAUAACAAGACUAUUUGCGCAGGUUUUUCAUUUUUUAGAUUUUUUUUGAAUUAGUUAUACACAUUUGAAUAUUCGGUCAAACCUUUCAAAACCCUGUUGACUGCCUCCAAAACCCAUGUAACCCUAGCGCCGAACGUCCACCAUCGAUCUAACCCUAACGCCAAACUGCGGCCGUCGGAUAGGCCUUCUAGAAGGAUUCCGCGGGGGCGAUCCGUGGGAGCCCUGAUUCUCCAAUCUGCUUGGCCACCAUUUUUUUUCUCUGACGAACAGAUAACGUUGAGCGGGGGAGCAUCUCAGUGACCGUUGGGCCGAGCGGAUCGGGCCCAGCAGAGCCUGGCGUGCGUGCGCACAGCCGUCGAGAGGGGGGAUGGGCUGCAUGCGAGAGGGUCACUGACAUGUGGGCCAUCCCUGUCCCAUGCAUGCCAUGCAACGGCGUCACAGCCUAGCUAUUCUGUGCUCGUGAACGCUGGGACACAGCCUAGCCAUUUGCAUGCGGGCUUGCAUGCACGCAUUGACGCAGUAAAGCAGCGGCAGGGGCGUGUUGGAAAUAUGCCCUAGAGGCAAUAAUAAAAUGGUUAUUAUUGUAUUUCCUUGUUCAUGAUAAUUGUCUGUUGUUCAUGCUAUAAUUGUAUUAACUGGAAACUGUAAUACAUGUGUGAAUACACAGACCACAACAUGUCCCUAGUAAGCCUCUAGUUGACUAGCUCGUUGAUCAAUAGAUGGUUAUGGUUUCCUGAGCAUGGACAUUGGAUGUCAUUGAUAACAGGAUCACAUCAUUAGGAGAAUGAUGUGAUGGACAAGACCCAAUCCUAAGCAUAGCACAAGAUCGUGUAGUUCGUUUGCUAGAGCUUUUCUAAUGUCAAGUAUCAUUUCCUUAGACCAUGAGAUUGUGCAACUCCGGAUACCGUAGGAAUGCUUUGGGUGUACCAAACGUCACAACGUAACUGGGUGGCUAUAAAGGUGCACUACAGGUAUCUCCGAAAGUGUCUGUUGGGUUGGCACGAAUCGAGACUGGGAUUUGUCACUCCGUAUGACGGAGAGGUAUCUCUGGGCCCACUCGGUAAUGCAUCAUCAUAAUGAGCUCAAUGUGACUAAGGAGUUAGCCACGGGAUCGUGCGUUACGGUAUGAGUAAAGUGACUUGCUGGUAACGAGAUUGAACAAGGUAUUGGGAUACCGACGAUCGAAUCUCGGGCAAGUAACGUACCGAUUGACAAAGGGAAUUGUAUACGGGAUUGAUUGAAUCCUCGACAUCGUGAUUCAUCCGAUGAGAUCAUCGUGCAACAUGUGGGAGCCAACAUGGGUAUCCAGAUCCCGCUGUUGGUUAUUGACCGAAGAGUCGUCUCGGUCAUGUCUGCAUGUCUCCCGAACCCGUAGGGUCUACACACUUAAGGUUCGGUGACGCUAGAGUUGUAGAGAUAUUAGUAUGCGGUUAACUGAAAGUUGUUCGGAGUCCCGGAUGAGAUCCCGGACGUCACGAGGAGUUACGGAAUGGUCCGGAGGUAAAGAUUUAUAUAUGGUAAGUCCUAUUUUGGCCACCGGAAAAUGUUCGGGAUUUUUCGGUAUUGUACCGGGAAGGUUCUAGAAGGUUCUGAAGUGGGGCCCACCUGCAUGGGGGGACCCACAUGAACGUGGGUAGUGGGGGCAAGGCCCCACACCCCUGGUCAAGGCGCACCAAGAUCCCACCUUAGAAGGAAUAAGAUCAUAUCCCGAAGGGAUAAGAUCAAGAUCCCUAAAAAAGGGGGAUAACAAUCGGUGGGGAAGGGAAAUGAUGGGAUUUCUUUCCCCCACCUUUGCCAACGCCCCAAUGGACUUGGAGGGCAAGAAACCAGCCCCCUCCACCCCUAUAUAUAGUGGGGAGGCGAAUGGGAGCAGUACCCCAAGCCCUGGCGCCUCCCUCCCUCCCGUGACACCUCUUCCUCCCCGCUUGCGCUUGGCGAAGCCCUGCCGGGAUCCCAUUACUUCCACCACCACGCCGUCGUGCUGCUGGAUCUCCAUCAACUUCUCCUCCCCCCUUGCUGGAUCAAUAAGGAGGAGACGUCCCGCUCCGUACGUGUGUUGAACGCGGAGGUGCCGUCCGUUCGGCGCUAGGAUCAUCGGUGAUUUGGAUCACGACGAGUACGACUCCAUCAACCCUGUUCUCUUGAACGCUUCCGCGCGCGAUCUACAAGGGUAUGUAGAUGCACUCCCCUCUCUCUCGUUGCUAGAUGACUCCAUAGAUUGAUCUUGGUGAUACGUAGAAAAUUUUAAAUUUCUGCUACGUUCCCCAACAGUGGCAUCAUGAGCCAGGUUUAUGCGUAGAUUCUAUGCUCGAGUAGAACGCAAAGUAGUUGUGGGCGACGAUUUGUUCAAUUUGCUUACUGUUACUAGUCUUAUCUUGAUUCGGCGACAUUGUGGGAUGAAGCGGCCCGGACCGACCUUACACGUACUCUUACGUGAGACAGGUUCCACCGACUGACAUGCACUUGAUGCAUAAGGUGGCUAGCGGGUGUCUGUCUCUCCCACUUUAGUCGGAUCGGAUUCGAUGAAAAGGGUCCUUAUGAAGGGUAAAUAGCAAUUGGCAUAUCACCGUUGUGGCUUUUGCGUAGGUAAGAAACGUUCUUGCUAGAAACCCAUAACAGCCAUGUAAAACAUGCAACAACAAUUAGAGGACGUCUAACUUGUUUUUGCAGGUUAUGCUAUGUGAUGUGAUAUGGCCAAAAGGAUGUGAUGAAUGAUAUAUGUGAUGUAUGAGAUUGAUCAUGUUCUUGUAAUAGGAAUCACGACUUGCAUGUCGAUGAAUAUGACAACCGGCAGGAGCCAUAGGAGUUGUCUUAAUUUAUUGUAUGACCUGCGUGUCAAUGAAAAACGCCAUGUAAUUACUUUACUUUAUUGCUAACCGUUAGCCAUAGUAGUAGAAGUAAUAGUUGGCGAGACAACUUCAUGAAGACACGAUGAUGGAGAUCAUGAUGAUGGAGAUCAUGGUCUCAUGCCGGUGACGAAGGUGAUCAUGCCGCGCCUCGAAGAUGGAGAUCAAAAGGCGCAAGAUGAUAUUGGCCAUAUCAUGUCACUUUAUGAUUUGCAUGUGAUGUUUGUCAUGUUUACAUCUUAUUUGCUUAGAACGACGGUAGCAUAAAUAAGAUGAUCCCUCACUAAAAUUUCAAGAGAUGUGUUCCCCCUAACUAUGCACCGUUGCGAAGGUUCGUUGUUUCGAAGCACCACGUGAUGAUCGGGUGUGAUAGAUUCUAACGUUCGCAUACAACGGGUGUUGACGAGCCUAGCAUGUACAGACAUGGCCUCGGAACACAAGCAAAACACUUAGGUUGACUUGACGAGCCUAGCAUGUACAGACAUGCCCUCGGAACACAAGAGACCGAAAGGUCGAACAUGAGUCAUAUAGUAGAUACGAUCAACAUGGAGAUGUUCACCGAUGAUGACUAGUCCGUCUCACGUGAUGAUCGGACACGGCCUAGUCGAUUCGGAUCAUGUAUCACUUAGAUGACUAGAGGGAUGUCUAUCUAAGUGGGAGUUCAUUAAAUAAUCAGAUGAACUUAAUUAUCAUGAACAUAGUCAAAAGGUCUUUGCAAAUAAUGUCGUAGCUUACGCUUUAGUUCUACUAAGAUAUGUUCCUAGAGAAAAUUUAGUUGAAAGUUGAUAGUAGCAAUUAUGUGGACUGGGUCCGUAAACUGAGGAUUGUCCUCAUUGCUGCACAGAAGGCUUAUGUCCUUAAUGCACCGCUCGGUGUGCUGAACCUCGAGCGUCAUCUAUAGAUGUUACGAAACAUCUGACAUACACGUUUUGAUGACUACGUGAUAGUUCAGUGUGUGAUGCUAACGGUUUAAAAUUGUGGCACCAAAGACGGUUUUGAAACGUCGCAGAACAUAUGAGAUGUUCCAAAGACUGAAAUUGGGAUUUCAUACUAAUGCCCACGUCAAGAGGUAUGAGACCUCUGACAAGUUUCUUAAGCCUGCAAACUAAGGGAGAAAAGCUCAAUCGUUGAGCAUAUGCUCAGAUUGUCUGAGUACUACAAUCACUUGAAUCGAGUGGGAGUUAAUCUUCCAGAUGAGAUAGUGAUGGUUCUCCAUAGUCACUACCACCAAGCUAUUAGAGCUUCGUGAUGAACUAUAACAUAUCAGGGAUAGACCUAAUGAUCCUUGAGCAACUCGCGAUGUUUGACACCGCGAAAGUAGAAAUCAAGAAGGAGCAUCAAUUGUUGAUGGUUAGUAAAACCACUAGUUUCUAGAAGGGCAAGGGCAAGAAGGGAUACUUCAUGAAACGGCAAAUUAGUUACUGCUCUAGUGAAGAAACCCAAGGUUGAACCCAAACCCGAGACUAAGUGCUUCUGAAAUGAGGGGAACAGUCACUGAAGCAGAACUACCCUAGAUACUUCGUAGAUGAGAAGGCUGGCAAGGUCGACAGAAGUAUAUUGGAUAUACAUGUGUACUUUACUAGUACUCCUAGUAGCACCAGGGUAUUAGAUACCGGUUCGGUUGCUAAGUGUUAGUAACUCGAAAUAAAAGCUGCGGAAUAAACGGAGACUAGCUAAAGGUGAGAUGACGAUAUGUGUUGGAAGUGUUUCCAAGGUUGAUGUGAUCAAGCAUCGCAUGCUCCCUCUACCAUCGAGAUUGGGGUUAAACCUGAAUAAUAAUUAUUUGGUGUUUGCGUUGAGCAUAGACAUGAUUGGAUUAUGUUUAUCGCAAUACGGUUAUUCAUUAAAGGAGAAUAAUGGUUGCUCUGUCUAUUUGAAUAAUACCUUCAAUGGUCUUGCACCUAAAAUGAAUGGUUUAUUGAAUCUCGAUCGUAGUGAUACACAUGUUCAUGCCAAAAGAUAUAAGAUAGUAAUGAUAGUACCACAUACUUGUGGCACUUCCACUUGAGUCAUAUUGGUAUAAAACGCAUGAAGAAGCUCCAUGUUGAUGGAUCUUUGGACUCACUCGUUUUUGAAAAGAUUGAGACAUGCGAACCAUGUCUAUUAGUAUAUAUGCAUGAAGAAAGUCCAUACAGAUGGAUCAUUUGGACUCACUUGAUUUUGAAUCACUUGAGACAUGCAAAUCAUACCACAUGGGCAAGAUGACUGAAAGGCCUCGUUUUCAGAGAGCAACUUGUUGGAAGUAAUACAUUUGAUGUGUGCAGUCCAAUGAGUGCUGAGGCACGCAGUGGAUAUCGUAAUGUUCUUACUUCACAGAUGAUUUGAGUAGAUGCUGAGAAUAUUUACUUGAUGAAACACAAAUCUGAAUUAUUGAAAGGUUCAAGUAAUUUCAGAGUGAAGUUGAAGAUCGUCGUGACAAGAGGAUAAAAUGUCUGUGAUAUGAUCAUAGAGAUGAAUAUCUGAGUUACGAAUUUGGCACACAAUUAAGAAAUUGUGGAAAUUGUUUCACGACUAAUACCGCCUGGAACACCAUAUUGUGAUGGUGUGUCCGAACAUCAUAACUGCACUCUAUUGGAUAUGGUGCAUACCAUGAUGUCUCUUAUCGAAUUACAACUAUCAUUUAUGGGUUAGGCAUUAGAGACAACCGCAUUCACUUUAAAUAGGGCACCACGCAAUUCCGUUGAGACGACACCGUAUGAACUAUGGUUUAGAGAAACCUAAGCUGUCGUUUCUUAAAAGUUUGGGGCUGCGACGCUUAUGUGAAAAAGUUUCAGGCUGAUAAGCUCGAACCCAAAGCGAAUAAAUGCAUCUUCAUAGAAUACCCAAAACAGUUGGGUAUACCUCCUAUUUCAGAUCUGGAAGCAAAAGUGAUUGCUUCUAGAAACGGGUGCUUUCUCGAGGAAAAGUUUCUCUCGAAAGAAUUGAGUGGGAGGUGUAGGGGAACGUAGAAGAAAUUCAAAAUUUUCUACGCAUCACCAAGAUCAAUCUAUGGAGUUUACUAGCAACGAGAGGGAAGGAGUGCAUCUACAUACCCUUGUAGAUCGCGAGCGGAAGCGUUCAAGAGAACGGGGUUGAUGGAGUCGUACUCGUCGUGAUCCAAAUCACCGAUGAUCCUAGCGCCGAACGGACGGCACCUCCGCGUUCAACACACGUACGGAGCAGCGACGUCUCCUCCUUCUUGAUCCAGCAAGGGGGGAGGAGAGGUUGAUGGAGAUCCAACAGCAUGACGGCGUGGUGGUGGAAGUAGCGGGAUUCCAACAGGGCUUCGCCAAGCGCUGCGGGAGGAGGGAGAUGUGUCACGGGAGGGAGAGGGAGGCGCCAGGGCUUAGGUAUUGCUGCCCUCCCUUCCCCCCACUAUAUAUAGGGCCAAGGGAGAGAGGGGGGGCAGCCUUGGCCCUUCCUCCAAGGAAGGGUGCGGCCAGGGAGGAGUCCUUCCCCCCCAAGGCACCUCGGAGGUGCCUUCCCCCUUUAGGACUCUCCCUUUUCCUUAUCUCUUGGCGCAUGGGCCUCUUGGGGCUGGUGCCCUUGGCCCAUAUAGGCCAAGGCGCACCCCUAUAGCCCAUGUGGCCCCCCGGGGCUCGUGGACCCCCUUGGUGGACCCCCGGACCCCUUUCGGCACUCCCGGUACAAUACCGAUAAAGUGCGAAACUUUUCCGGCGACCAAAAUAAGACUUCCCAUAUAAAUCUUUACCUCCGGACCAUUCCGGAACUCCUCGUGACGUCCGGGAUCUCAUCCGGGACUCCGAACAACUUUCGGGUUACCGCAUACUAAUAUCUCUAUAACCCUAGCGUCACCGAACCUUAAGUGUGUAGACCCUACGGGUUCGGGAGACACGCAGACAUGACCGAGACGACUCUCCGGUCAAUAACCAACAGCGGGAUCUGGAUACCCAUGUUGGCUCCCACAUGCUCCUCGAUGAUCUCAUCAGAUGAACCACGAUGUCGAGGAUUCAAUCAAUCCCGUAUACAAUUCCCUUUGUCUACCGGUAUGUUACUUGCCCGAGAUUCGAUCGUUGGUAUCCCGAUACCUUGUUCAAUCUCGUUACCGGCAAGUCUCUUUACUCGUUCCGUAACACAUCAUCCCAUGAUCAACUCCUUGGUCACAUUGUGCACAUUAUGAUGAUGUCCUACCGAGUGGGCCCAGAGAUACCUCUCCGUUUACACGGAGUGACAAAUCCCAGUCUCGAUUCGUGCCAACCCAACAGACACUUUCGGAGAUACCUGUAGUGCACCUUUAUAGCCACCCAGUUACGUUGUGACGUUUGGUACACCCAAAGCAUUCCUACGGUAUCCGGGAGUUGCACAAUCUCAUGGUCUAAGGAAAUGAUACUUGACAUUAGAAAAGCUCUGAGCAAACGAACUACACGAUCUUGUGCUAGGCUUAGGAUUGGGUCUUGUCCAUCACAUCAUUCUCCUAAUGAUGUGAUCCCGUUAUCAACGACAUCCAAUGUCCAUGGUCAGGAAACCGUAACCAUCUAUUGAUCAACGAGCCAGUCAACUAGAGGCUUACUAGGGACAUGGUGUUGUCUAUGUAUCCACACAUGUAUCUGAGUUUCCUAUCAACACAAUUCUAGCAUGGAUAAUAAACGAUUAUCAUGAACAAGGAAAUAUAAUAAUAACCUAUUUAUUAUUGCCUCUAGGGCAUAUUUCCAACAGGAGGAUGGUGGAGACUUGAUGAGGUCAUUGAACCGUCACUUCAACUAAUGUGUAGCAGGGCACAGGAAGUUGUUCCUGUGGCACCUACACCAAUUGAAGUGGAAGCUUAUGAUAGUGAUCAUGAAACUUCAGAUCAAGUCACUACCAAACCUCAUAGGAUGACAAGGAUGCGUACUACUUCAGAGUGGUACGUAAUCAUGUCUUGGAAGUCAUGUUGCUAGACAACAAUGAACCUACGAGCUAUGGAGAAGCGAUGGUGGGCCUGGAUUCCGACGAAUGGCUCGAGGUCAUAAAAUCCGAGAGGAUCCAUGUAUGAAAACAAAGUAUAGACUUUGAAAGAACUACUUGAUGGUCGUAAGGCUGUUGGGUAGAGAUGGAUUUUAAAGGGAAGACAGACAAUGAUGGUAAGUGUCACCAUUUAGAAAGCUCGACUUGUCGUUAAGAUGUUUUCCGGCAAGUUCAAGGAGUUGACUGCGAUGAGACUUUCUCACUCGUAGCGAUGCUAAGAGUCUGUUAGAAUUAUAUUAGUAGUUACUGCAUUAUUUAUGAAAUCUUGCAGAUAGGAUGUCAAAACAUUGUUUCCUCGACGAUUUUCUUGAGGAAAGGUUGUAUGUGAUACAACCAGAAGGUUUUGUCAAUCCUGAAAGAUGCUAACAAGUAUGCAAAGCUCCAGCAAUCCUUCUAAGGAUUGGAGUAAGCAUCUCGGAGUUGGAAUGAACGCUUUGAUGAGAUGAUCAAAGAUUUUGGGUUUAUACAAAGUUCAUGUGAAACUUGUAUUUCCAAAUAAGUGAGUGGGAGCACUAUAGAAUUUUUGAUGAGUAUAUGUUGUUAACAUAUUGUAGAUCAGAAAUGAUGUAGAAUUUCUGGAAAGCAUCCAGGGUUAUUUGAAAAGUGUUUUUAAUGGAAAACCUGGAUUAAGCUACUUGAACAUUGAGCAUCAAGAUCUAUAAGGAUAGAUCAAAAACGCUUAAUAGUACUUUCAAAUGAAUACAUACCGUGACAAGAUUUUGAAGGAGUUCAAAAUAGAUCAGCAAAGAAGGAGUUCUUGGAUGUGUUACAAGGUGUGAGUAUUGAGUAAGACUCAAGACCUGACCACGGCAGAAGAAAGAGAAAGGACGAAGGUCGUCCCCUAUGCUUUAGACGUAGGCUCUAAAUAUGCUAUGAUGUGUACCGCACCUGAAGUGUGCCUUGCCAUGAGUUAGUCAAGGGGUACAAUAGUGAUCCAGGAAGGGAUCACAUGACAGCGGUCGAACUUAUCCUUAGUAUCUAGUGGACUGAGGAAUUUUCUCGAUUAUGGAGGUGGAAAGGGGGUUCGUCGUAAAGGGUUACGUCGAUGCAAACUUUGACACUAAUCCGGAUGACUCUGAGUAGUGAACCGGAUUCGUAUAGUAGAGCAGUUAUUUGGAAUAGCUCCAAGUAGCGCGUGGUAGCUGCAUCUACAAGAUGACAUAGAGAUUUGUAAAGCACACACGGAUCUGAAUGUUGCAGACCCGUUGACUAAAACCUCUCUCGUAAGCAUAACAUGAUCAAAUCCUAGAACUCAUUGAGUGUUAAUCACAUGGUGAUGUGAACUAGAUUAUUGACUCUAGUAAACUCUUGGGUAUUAGUCACAUGGAGAUGUGAACUUUGAGUGUUAAUCACAUGGUGAUGUGAACUAGAUUAUUGACUCUAGUGCAAGUGGGAGACUGUUGGAAAUAUUCCCUAGAGGCAAUAAUAAAAUGGUUAUUAUUGUAUUUCCUUGUUCAUGAUAAUUGUCUGUUGUUCAUGCUAUAAUUGUAUUAACUGGAAACCGUAAUACAUGUGUGAAUACAUAGACCACAACAUGUCCCUAGUAAGCCUCUAGUUGACUAGCUCGUUGAUCAAUAGAUGGUUAUGGUUUCCUGAGCAUGGACAUUGGAUGCCAUUGAUAACGGGAUCACAUCAUUAGGAGAAUGAUGUGAUGGACAAGACCCAAUCCUAAGCAUAGCACAAGAUCGUGUAGUUCGUUUGCUAGAGCUUUUCUAAUGUCAAGUAUCAUUUCCUUAGACCAUGAGAUUGUGCAACUCCCGGAUACCGUAGGAAUGCUUUGGGUGUACCAAACGUCACAACGUAACUGGGUGGCUAUAAAGGUGCACUACAGGUAUCUCCGAAAGUGUCUGUUGGGUUGGCACGAAUCGAGACUGGGAUUUGUCACUCCGUAUGACGGAGAGGUAUCUCUGGGCCCACUCGGUAAUGCAUCAUCAUAAUGAGCUCAAUGUGACUAAGGAGUUAGCCACGGGAUCAUGCGUUACGGUACGAGUAAAGUGACUUGCCGGUAACGAGAUUGAACAAGGUAUUGGGAUACCGACGAUCGAAUCUCGGGCAAGUAACGUACCGAUUGACAAAGGGAAUUGUAUACGGGAUUGAUUGAAUCCUCGACAUCGUGAUUCAUCCUAUGAGAUCAUCGUGGAACAUAUGGGAGCCAACAUGGGUAUCCAGAUCCUGCUGUUGGUUAUUGACCGGAGAGUCGUCUCGGUCAUGUCUGCAUGUCUCCCGAACCCGUAGGGUCUACACACUUAAGGUUCGGUGACGCUAGAGUUGUAGAGAUAUUAGUAUGCGGUUAACCGAAAGUUGUUCGGAGUCCCGGAUGAGAUCCCGGACGUCACGAGGAGUUACGGAAUGGUCCGGAGGUAAAGAUUUAUAUAUGGUAAGUCCUAUUUUGGCCACCGGAAAAUGUUCGGGAUUUUUCGGUAUUGUACCGGGAAGGUUCUAGAAGGUUCUGAAGUGGGGCCCACCUGCAUGGGGGGACCCACAUGAACGUGGGUAGUGGGGGCAAGGCCCCACACCCCUGGUCAAGGCGCACCAAGAUCCCACCUUAGAAGGAAUAAGAUCAUAUCCCGAAGGGAUAAGAUCAAGAUCCCUAAAAAAGGGGGAUAACAAUCGGUGGGGAAGGGAAAUGAUGGGAUUUCUUUCCCCCACCUUUGCCAACGCCCCAAUGGACUUGGAGGGCAAGAAACCAGCCCCCUCCACCCCUAUAUAUAGUGGGGAGGCGCAUGGGAGCAGUACCCCAAGCCCUGGCGCCUCCCUCCCUCCCGUGACACCUCUUCCUCCCCGCUUGCGCUUGGCGAAGCCCUGCCGGGAUCCCGCUACUUCCACCACCACGCCGUCGUGCUGCUGGAUCUCCAUCAACUUCUCCUCCCCCCUUGCUGGAUCAAGAAGGAGGAGACGUCCCGCUCCGUACGUGUGUUGAACGCGGAGGUGCCGUCCGUUCGGCGCUAGGAUCAUCGGUGAUUUGGAUCACGACGAGUACGACUCCAUCAACUCCGUUCUCUUGAACGCUUCCGCGCGCGAUCUACAAGGGUAUGUAGAUGCACUCCCCUCUCUCUCGUUGCUAGAUGACUCCAUAGAUUGAUCUUGGUGAUACGUAGAAAAUUUUAAAUUUCUGCUACGUUCCCCAACAGGGCGCAGCGUAUAGGUACGUCGCAUCUAAGCUAUUUUAACAAAUGCAUGUUUGAACCUGAGACACGGGACGGACGCGUCGGUGGUGCAGCUCCUUUUUCAGUGUCACGCGCGGAUGAACGGGCCUGUUUCCCACGCGGCGUCACCACCGAUGCAAGUCCACGAAACGUUGCAUCUCGCCUGUGCCGCCCGUGCCUCUUUGGAUGCUCUGCCCGCCGUUUUUGAAUUAAUGCCCACAAUUACUUAUGCCAGCACGAACGGAGAAGAGAAAACGAUCGAAGGCAUCGUGUACAUUGACUACGGCUGCAACGCAUCUAUAAAAGGGCACCAUUUCCUCAUCCCUCUCACACUCAUCUCUCAAGCCUCCUCCGCUUCUUCGUUUCGAGCCAAAUCCACCACUCGAGCCGCCAUGCUGUUCUACGGCCCUACCUACCGUCGCCCUCGCACCGUGCCGGAGAGGGAGUACCCGGCCGGAGUCAUCGUCGAGAAUAGCCUGAGGGUGUCGGCCAUCUCAAGGUGGAGGGGCCCUAAAGAGUUGACUCGCUUCUUCCUCCAAGCCGGCUACCGCCACCUCCCUCCGGGCACUCUGCCCAUGUUCCACCUCCACGAGCAGUACGAUGGCGACGCCAGCGGCAUCGUCAUCAGCCUCUACGUCACCUUCACCAACCCCUACGACGCUCACCACCUCCUCGGCCAGGUGUUCUGGUGUGGAUGCGAGUUUAUCGCGUUCACCACCUACAACAUCUUCACCAACUUCCACCACAUCUUCCCCCACCCCAACGGCAUGCACACCCUCCCCUACCAGAUGCCGGAGAACGACGAGUGAGGGGCAUCGGCUAAGGAGGGGCCAAGGAGUUGUUCGAGUGCGAGUCUUUCUAUCUAUCUAGCUUGUGUUGUGUUGUGUUGGUUGGGGCGUGUGUGCCCGUGUCUUCUAGCUAUAUGUCUAGUUUUAAUUAUUUUCCUAUCAUGUUUUAUGCACUAUAUGUUGUAAGGGGAUGCCCCUCUAUAUGUUCUCUAAGGGGAUGCUACUAGGGUACCCGAUGCCCCUCUAUCGUGCUAUCUAUUAAUGUUUUUUCGGGCCUAAAGUUUCUCCAUUGCAUUUUAUUUAUGUGGCCAUGUGAACUAAAAAAUGCACUAAAACAUGAUCCAAUCAUAAAAGUUGUUGUUAGCACGUGUCUAAUUAAUUAUCUUCUUUUUAUGUUUUAUGCACUAUAUGUUGUAAGGGGAUGCCCCUCUAUGUUGUAAGGAGAUGCUACUAGGGGCACACUAGAUGUCUUCUUUUUUUGAGAGGGGCACAACCUUUUUCGGUUGAAACACACGAGUAAAAACUUUGAAAACACCAUAGCACAAAUCAAAAAAAAUUAAAAAUGGUGCUUGGUUGAAAUAAACUAGAACCAAAUAAUUGCAACUUUUUUGGUUCACAAAGACUGCAAGUUAGACUGCUAACUAGAACCAACCUUUUGUUUUAGGCGAAACAACACGGGACCCUACCAUCGGACACGAUAGCUUGUGCAUAAAAAUAGCUCAAAUAAUUAUCAGAUGAGUUAUCUCAAAAAAGGUGACUGCAGGAAACUUAAAAUUUGUGAAAUAACCUAAAGCCGAAAAGAUAUAUCGAUGUCAAUGACCGUGUGCACUUUUUUUUGCACUAGCUACACUUCUUUUAUCAAUGGGCCUGGAUAUGUUCUAUUCGGCCCUGCCUAACUUCUAUAUGGGCCUGGCCUUUUCGGGCAACUGUGGACGAACCUUUUUUUCCUUUUCUCCCUCUACCACUGAAACUGAAACUGAUGACGAACUGAAGAACUGAAAAAACGGGGCCGAAACAGAGUGGAGAAGACAUGCCGAAUUCGUACAACGCAACACUUUUAUUCAAACAUCCAUAUCAUUACGAUUACAAAUGAUGCCCAAUCUAUUCACUUACGACUAAUUAUCAUCACAUAAACAAAUNNNNNNNNNNNNNNNNNNNNNNNNNNNNNNNNNNNNNNNNNNNNNNNNNNNNNNNNNNNNNNNNNNNNNNNNNNNNNNNNNNNNNNNNNNNNNNNNNNNNNNNNNNNNNNNNNNNNNNNNNNNNNNNNNNNNNNNNNNNNNNNNNNNNNNNNNNNNNNNNNNNNNNNNNNNNNNNNNNNNNNNNNNNNNNNNNNNNNNNNNNNNNNNNNNNNNNNNNNNNNNNNNNNNNNNNNNNNNNNNNNNNNNNNNNNNNNNNNNNNNNNNNNNNNNNNNNNNNNNAAUGGAAUGGGCGCCCUCAAUGGAAUUGCCAGAUCCAGGGGCCCCAGAUCCAGACGGGCCUGAUCCAAACUUGCCCAACUUCUCCGCCUCCAACGGUAAAUCGAGCUCCCCUGAUGCACCCUCCAGUUGAAUCCGCUCUAUGUACUCAUCUAGCCACUCAAAAUGGAUGCAUUGCUUCAAUUUCUGAAAUCGGAAAGAUGAACCCUAAAUCCCAAAUCCGAUGAAAAAUGGGCAAAUAUGAAAUUGGGAGACAAAAGCCAAAAUUGGCAUAUUGAGAAGUAAAAUCUCACCUUUCCCUGCUCUGGUUUGCUCUCGCAUUUCACGAAUUCCCGCCCAAGGUUGCCAUUCUUGUCAGUCGUUGUGACUAGCCGCUUCAGGGGUGCGGUACGUGGGCAUGCAGGGCACCUUGUCAUGGGCUCUGCGCCAUAGCGCGGCCAUGAGCGGCGGGAGGCUGAAGCGGAGCUCGACAUUGCUAGGUUGCGGCCCGGAACGGCGUUGCUGCGCGUCGUCGCCGGAGAAGAAGAACAACAACGGUCGGGGAGGGGGGAGGAUGGGCUCGGGUGCUGCACGGCUCGGUGUCCUCUUGUACCAAUGCUGAGCUGGAUAAGUUAGUGGGUCCCAUGCUGUGGGUCCCGCUCACCUGACCAAUGCUGAGCUGGAUAAGUUAGUGGGUCCCAUGUUGUGGGUCCCGCUCACCUGAUUUGAGUUUUAAACAUGUGUCUUUGGAUUAGGCAGCAGUGUCGCACGGCAACUAUUUUUUCCAACGCAGAUGUCGCAUGAGAGCCAUUUGAACCAACGAUGUCGCAUGAGAGACAAUUCAACUCAACGACGUCGCAUGGGAACUAUUUGCCCCGAGGACAACUCGCUCGAGGAGUCGGUAUGACACGGUGGGGCUGCCACCGCAACUCCUUUCUCCGAGCACAGAAGUUUCCAAAAAAGAACUGAGUGUGGGCAUGUCCAGAAUCAGUGAAGUAGUGUUUCUUCUCUUCCACAAGCUGCACAAAAAACCCCAGCCUUGAUAUGCCGCCGCUGGAGCUCAGUUCCAACUGCCAGACCAUUUCUCAUUAACCUCCACAUGUGAAUUUUUGCCUUGUUAGGAGCACUAGUAUCCCACAAAGCUAGCCAUCCCUUGUGUUGGUUCACCGAGGAGGAAGAGCCUGGCCGUCCAGUCUUCACCCCGUUCAACCUCAUCCUUAAGUGAUACGCCGACCUCACUCAGAACUGCCCAUUCUUGGUAAAAUUCCAUGCUAAAUAGUCUUCCGUACUUGGGCCUCCAAUCGCUAUCUGUUUAAUAUCUCUUGCAUCAUCUGGUGAGAACAUUUCAUCAACUAGAUUCAUAUUCCAGACCUUCCCAUUCGGCAUCAUUAAAUCCUGGACUUUUGUCACCCCUGGCACAAAGGUUUGCCCAAGCGGCUUCAUACUUCCUUGCCUUGGAAUCCAACUGUCAUGAUGUAUGUUUAUCCUAGACCCAUCUCCUAUUCGCCAAAUCGUGCCUUCUCUCAACAGAUCCCUCCCAUAGAUUAUACUACGAAAGGUAUAAGAGGCGCCAGAGGGACAUGUUGCAUUCAUAAUCGUCCCAUCCUUGAAAUACCGGGCCUUCAGAACUCUAGCACACAAGGAUUGUGGGUACUGUAGCACUCUCCAAGCUUGCUUUGCUAACAAGGCCUGGUUGAAAGCCACUGGGUCUCUAAACCCAAGUCCACCGUCCCGCUUGGCAGUACACAUUUUCUCCCAUGCUAGCCAAUGCACUUUCCUCUCACCGUUUGCUGCACCCCACCAGAAAAUUGACGAAAUUGAUGUCAGGUUCCCGCACAUCUUCUUUGUGAGUUGAAAACAACUCAUGGUAAAAGUUGGUGUAGAUUAUAGCACAGAUUUGACAAGCACUUCUCGUGCCGCCUUUGAUAAACCCUGUCCUUUCCAUCCCGAUACCUUCCCUUUAGAGCACUCGGUAACAUAUUUGAAUGUUCCAUCCUUGGAUUUUCCAACCACUGUUGGUAGUCCAAGAUAUCUCUCCCUCAGCGCCUCCGUUUCAAUUCCAAUAGCCUGCUUCAAAGGCCCCUUCUCCUCCUGCGCACAGCCCUUUCCAAAAAUUAUAGCAGAUUUUUGAAGGUUAACUUUUUGACCAGAAGCGGCCUCAUACCUCUCUAGAAUCUGCCUUAGUGCUAUCAAAUUAUUUUGGGAUCCUUCCAAGAAAACGAUGCUGUCAUCUGCAAAUAAUAGGUGUGUUACAUGGGGCCGGCGCUCCCAAAUGAAACACCCUUAAUUGUUUUGUUCUGUUGUGCCUUCUUUAACAAAGCUGAGAACCCCUCGACACAAAACAAGAACAAAUAUGGUGAUAGUGGAUCCCCUUGCCGCAGACCUCUUGAAGUUGUGAUGAUUGGGUUGUGCGACAUGCUCUGUUUUUGGGCUAUAUGGCGAACACAAAAGAAAUAUUUUGUUUUCAAUUGUACUACUGAUGUUGUGUUAUUUAUGUCCAAUUUUAUCUGUUACUUGGCGACCCUCCAGCAGAAAGGCAUGCUCUGUACAGACAAACAUAGAUAGUAGUAACAAACUUGAAUUGGUUGCAAAAAUAGCAAAUUAAGUUGGUGGUACACAUGCAUGGAUGAUGAAGCCUUCUUCAAUCUCAACUCGUCGUUGCUGGAGUCGGCAAAUUCGACGCGCAUGAGAUCUGUGGAUAUAGAUCUUACAUGAGAGCUGCUAUACACACGACGAAAUUGCAGCCGACGCAGGCACGAUCCAAUAUGGCAGCCCCGUCGUGUGUGAUGGCAUUUCGAGCUUACAUUAUUGAGAAGUUGGUCCCAAUUCUUUUGACAUGUAAAGUGUCCGCCUCAAUGUCUCAUUAAGCAAUGCAUUUAAGCCUUCUCUCCCACUAAGUCAUGCAAAAUUUGCCACGUAAGCGAGUCAUGCAUUUAACUUAUAAAGUACGGUUGUUUUUGCAUUAGUCUAUGCAUGCAACGCUGCGAACGAAACAAGUCUAGGAGUAGCAGCCCAAGGCAUCGCUUCAUUCCCUGCAAUGUCACUUAGCCUAGGAGUUGCGUUGCGUUGCUGAAUGGUGUCAAGUAGUAGUUCAUUUGUAGAUCCACUCGUCGGAGCGCUUGCCGCCGCCGGCGGAGUCGACGUCGAUGAAGAUGCUGACGGCCUUGCCGAUGCGGGGGCGGUCCUUGGUGGUCUCGAGCGAGUUGCGGACGUGGGCGACGGCGCCCCAGGAGCGGAGCGUGUUGGCCACGUCGUCGAGGCGGAGCAGGUACUCCUCCUCCGUCAGCGGGAAGGACCGCUGCUCCCGGUACUUCCACAUCACGUUCAUCGCCAGCAGGCUCCGCCCCAUGAACUGCUUCCGGAUGAGCGUCACGUCGUAGCUCCGGCCGUAGCGCUUCCGGAUGAGCGUGGCCAGGUCGAGCCCGCUGAAGCCGUCGUCGUCCGGCGCCCCCACCAGCCGCUCCAGCUCCUCCCGGUUCCGCCUCGACGCCGACGCCGACGACGUGCCCUGCAAUCGACCACGAUCAGUCGGCUCCCCUGUUCGUCAGCACUCGACGUGCACGCACGCACGCAACAAGAUUAGGGCGUGUACCUCGUCGUCGUCUUUUCUUGGCUUCUCUUCUUUGUCUUCGUCGUCGUCGUCUUUGCCGCUGCUGGAUUCGCCGCCGUCGUCGGCGACGGCCCUGACCGGGACGACGGCGCCGCGGCGGAAGGAGCCUGAAGAUGGCCUCCUCGUGCGGCUAGGAGGAUGUGCGUUGAUGGUGCUCCGCCGUGGACAUAAUAAUAAAAUGUCGUGUUGAUGGUGGUGAUGGAUCAUGCGCAGGUUCUGGGGGUGGCCGCUGGAGAGCACAUUCAUCAUGGAGCUCGAUCGAUCACGGCGACUGGACCGGACAACCCCAAGAUGGAUGGAUGGAUGGAUCGACUUGUCUGGUCUGCCUGGAGGGACAAAGAAUCGUUUACUUGCCAGGAGGAAGCACAACCACAAUAUAGAGUAUGAACAAAUUGUUUGUAAAAAGUAACUUUAUGUGUGUGGUGUACAAAGAACAGAGGAGUCUAUAAACGAUAAAACUGAUUAUUCUAUCUUGGCGAACUGUACUGAUAAUGAAGAUGUAAAGAAGUGUGUAAGAGAAGACGCACAACAAAGGGCAUUUGGUCUAGUGGUAUGAUUCUCGCUUAGGGUGCGAGAGGUCCCGAGUUCAAUUCUCGGAAUGCCCCUAAUCUUUCUUUUUUCAUCUUUUUUAAUUAUAAAAAAAUGUCUUCCUCCCCGCACCACACACACCUGAAUAUUUCCAUCAGUACCCGAAGGAAGGAUAUUUUGGUUUGUUCCCUGAACAAGCCCUCUGGUAUGCAUGCAGAUGGUCAAUCUAAUCUAAAGAAAGAAAAGCAACAAAAAGGAAACCAUGUUUACCCAGGAGCGGAGGUAAUUAAUUAAGCAACCAGCUAGUUACUUACUACUAACCUCUGAAGCUUCUUCAGAUCCUAUCCCCUGCCCGGUCCGUCCGUCCGGCCGGCAGAGUUGGUGCGAGCUCGAUUGCUUGCUCCGGCCUGCUCGUGAACAAGAAGAAGAAGAAGAAGAAGAAGAAGAAGAAGAAGAAGAAGAAGAAGAAGAUGAAGAGUCGAUUACUUCUGGGAGAGCUCGCUGAGAGGAGGAAGAGGGCGAGAAGGAAGGAAGGUUCAGAAGCGGAGAAAAGCAAGAGGAAGAGAAGAAACAGAGGUGGAAGAAAUCCCCAAGCUUUGCUUUUUGGUAGGCUUGCGUGACGCCACAGCCACAGCCACACCAGUGACCAGACCAGGCUCAAGGAUGGAUGGAUGCGUGGUGGCAGACGCAGCGGGGACGCUCACCACCCACAUUCCCUUCCUUCCUUUCUUUCUUUCUUUCUUUCUUUUCCUCCCUCUUUCUCUCAGAAAAAAAAAA